GCCGAAUUAGCUCAGUUGGCUAGAGCGCGGGUUUUGUAAACCUGAGGUCGUCGGUUCGACCCCGACAUUCGGCUCCA
rnacentral:tRNA from 1 species